AGCGGGAGAUCCGAGCGUCUCGGCUGGUGGAAGGGGCGAGGAGCUUUGCAGUUGUGUGCGAGUGUGUACAGGGACAGAGUCCUGAGCAAGGAAACCUAGAAGGGAGAGAGGAAUACCAUGGAAUUGAGUCCUGUCUGGUAGCACUGACAGACACAGUGGCCAGCCACCCUCAUGCCACCCUGUCCUGCCAUGGGAAGGAACAGCAGCUCUAGAGUUCCUAUGGGAACUCUCUUUCCUUCUCACUGAACUCUAGCUUCAUCAAUAACUCAGUGCCUCUGGCCAAGUUUUUAGCCUCUGGGACAACAUCCACUAUAUCCAUAUGAGGCACUCAUGUAACACGGUGAUUAAGAGUACAGAUGCUGAAGCCAGCAGCCUAAGUCUGAAUCCUGACUGCCAAUUAUUAAUAUAAGUUGUGGAACCAUGGUCAAGUUACUCAACCUCUUUAUGCCUCUGUCUCCUGGUCUACGAAAUGAAGCUUUGAAUCUGCUGUUAUUAAGUUGCUGGUGCUGAAAUAACACUUAUUAUUUAUGAUCUAACUGAAAUGGGAACACUGGAAACUUCUUUGAAACUGAAGAAAAAAAUGAAAAAGAAGUUUUUACAAUCAAAACUGCCAUGAAGACUGCUUUACCCAAAAUUUUGGUCCACAGCUUUCAUUGAAUUACUUAUCAGGGCAAACAAAGUUUAGCCAUGUGAACACGUUCCAAUUUUGUUGGAAAUAAUUUGGAUCCAGCUAUCUUUAUACAAUGGUGAGUUCGUAUUGCAUCUCAUGGCUAAAAUACUGAGGUAAAGGCUUUUGGAUCUUUGUGUGUGUGUGUGUGCAUGUGACAAAAACAAGCAAUGGGGAAAGGAGUCCCUAUUUAAUAAAUGGUGUUGGGAGAACUGGCUAGCCAUAUGCAGAAAGUUGAAACUGGAGCCCCUCCUUAUACCAUAUACAAAAAUCAACUCAAGAUGAAUUAAAGACUUAAAUGUAAAAACCCAAACUAUAAAAACCCUAGAAGAAAAUCUAGGCAAUACCAUUCAGGACAUGGGCACAGGCAAAUAUUUCAUGACAAAGAUGCCAAAAGCAGUAGCAACAAAAGCAAAAAUUGACAAAUGGAAUCUAAUUAAACUAAAGAGCUUCUGUACAGCAAAGAAAUUAUCAUCAGAGUGAACAGACAGCUUACAGCAUGGGAGAAAAUUUUUGCAGUAUAUCCAUCUGACAAAGGUCUAAUAUUCAGCAUCUACAAGGAACUUAAACAAAUUUACAAGAAAAAAAAACAACGCCAUUAAAAAAUGGGCAAAGGACGUGGACAGACACUUCUCAAAAGAAGAAAUUUAUGUGGGCAAUGAACAUUUUUUUUAAAAAAGCUCAACACCACUGAUCAUUAGAGAAAUGCACAUGAAAACCACAAUGAGAUACCAUCUCACACCAGUCAGAAUGGCUAUUACUUAAAGGUCAAAAAACAACAGAUGAUAGCAAGGUUGUGAAGAAAAAUGAACACUUUUAUACGUUGGUUGGAGUAUAAAUUAGUUCUACCCUUGUCGAAGACAGUGUGGUGAUUCCUCAAAGACCUAGGGGAAGAAAUAUCAUUUGACCCAGCAAUCUCAUUACUGGGUAUAUACCCAGAGGAAUAUAAAUCAUUCUAUUAUAAAGAUACAUGUGCAUGUUCAUUGCAAAAUAGCAAAAACAUGGAAUCAACCUAAAUGCUCAUCAAUGACAGACUUGAUAAAGGAAAUAUGGUACGUAUACACCAAGGAAUACCAUGCAGCCAUAAAAAGGAACAAGAUAAUGUCUUUUGCAGGGACCUGGAUGGAACCAGAAGCCAUUAUCCUCAGCAAAUUAAUGCAGGAACAGAAAAGCAAAUACCACAUGUUCUCACUUGUAAGUGGUAGCUGAAUGAUGAGAACACAUGGACACAUGGUGGGGAACAAUACACACUGGGGCCUGUUGCAGGGUGCGGAGUGGGAGGGAGAGCAUCGGGAAGAAUAGCUAAUGCAUGCUGGGCUUAAUACCUAGGGGAUGGAAUGAUCUGUGCUGCAAACCACUAUGGCACACAUUUACCUAUGUAACAAACCUACACAUCCUGCACAUGUACCCCUGACCUUAAAAUAAAAGUUGGAAAUAAAAAAAACCCUAAACAUAUACCUAC
rnacentral:lncRNA from 1 species